rnacentral:rRNA from 1 species
GACGAACGCUGGCGGCGUGCUUAACACAUGCAAGUCGAACGGAAAGGCCCUGCUUUUGUGGGGUGCUCGAGUGGCGAACGGGUGAGUAACACGUGAGUAACCUGCCCUUGACUUUGGGAUAACUUCAGGAAACUGGGGCUAAUACCGGAUAGGAGCUCCUGCUGCAUGGUGGGGGUUGGAAAGUUUCGGCGGUUGGGGAUGGAUUCGCGGCUUAUCAGCUUGUUGGUGGGGUAGUGGCUUACCAAGGCUUUGACGGGUAGCCGGCCUGAGAGGGUGACCGGCCACAUUGGGACUGAGAUACGGCCCAGACUCCUACGGGAGGCAGCAGUGGGGAAUAUUGCACAAUGGGCGGAAGCUUGAUGCAGCAACGCCGCGUGCGGGAUGACGGCCUUCGGGUUGUAAACCGCUUUCGCCUGUGACGAAGCGUGAGUGACGGUAAUGGGUAAAGAAGCACCGGCUAACUACGUGCCAGCAGCCGCGGUGAUACGUAGGGUGCGAGCGUUGUCCGGAUUUAUUGGGCGUAAAGGGCUCGUAGGUGGUUGAUCGCGUCGGAAGUGUAAUCUUGGGGCUUAACCCUGAGCGUGCUUUCGAUACGGGUUGACUUGAGGAAGGUAGGGGAGAAUGGAAUUCCUGGUGGAGCGGUGGAAUGCGCAGAUAUCAGGAGGAACACCAGUGGCGAAGGCGGUUCUCUGGGCCUUUCCUGACGCUGAGGAGCGAAAGCGUGGGGAGCGAACAGGCUUAGAUACCCUGGUAGUCCACGCUGUAAACGGUGGGUACUAGGUGUGGGGUCCAUUCCACGGGUUCCGUGCCGUAGCUAACGCUUUAAGUACCCCGCCUGGGGAGUACGGCCGCAAGGCUAAAACUCAAAGGAAUUGACGGGGCCCCGCACAAGCGGCGGAGCAUGCGGAUUAAUUCGAUGCAACGCGUAGAACCUUACCUGGGUUUGACAUGGAUCGGGAGCGCUCAGAGAUGGGUGUGCCUCUUUUGGGGUCGGUUCACAGGUGGUGCAUGGCUGUCGUCAGCUCGUGUCGUGAGAUGUUGGGUUAAGUCCCGCAACGAGCGCAACCCUUGUUCACUGUUGCCAGCACGUUAUGGUGGGGACUCAGUGGAGACCGCCGGGGUCAACUCGGAGGAAGGUGGGGAUGACGUCAAGUCAUCAUGCCCCUUAUGUCCAGGGCUUCACGCAUGCUACAAUGGCUGGUACAGAGAGUGGCGAGCCUGUGAGGGUGAGCGAAUCUCGGAAAGCCGGUCUCAGUUCGGAUUGGGGUCUGCAACUCGACCUCAUGAAGUCGGAGUCGCUAGUAAUCGCAGAUCAGCAACGCUGCGGUGAAUACGUUCCCGGG